GAUGAACGCUGGCGGCGUGCCUAAUACAUGCAAGUCGAGCGAACGGACGAGAGGCUUGCUUUUCUGAUGUUAGCGGCGGACGGGUGAGUAACACGUGGAUAACCUACCUAUAAGACUGGUAUAACUUCGGGAAACCGGAGCUAAUACCGGAUAAUAUUUUGAACCGCAUGGUUCAAAAGUGAAAGACGGUCUUGCUGUCACUUAUAGAUGGAUCCGCGCUGCAUUAGCUAGUUGGUAAGGUAACGGCUUACCAAGGCAACGAUGCGUAGCCGACCUGAGAGGGUGAUCGCCCGCACUGGAACGGGAACACGGUCCUUACUCCUGCGGUAGGCCGCAGUCGGGAAUCUUCCGCAGUGGGCGAGAACCUGACGGAGCGACGCCGCGUGAGUGAUGGAGGUCUUCGGAUCGUAAAACUCUGUUAUUAGGGAAGAACAUAUGUGUAAGUAACUGUGCACAUCGUGACGGUACCUAAUCAGAAAGCCACGGCUAACUACGUG
rnacentral:rRNA from 1 species